rnacentral:tRNA from 1 species
UCCUCCUUAGCUCAGUUGGUUAGAGCACCUGACUGUUAAUCAGGGGGUCGUUAGUUCAAGUCUAACAGGGGGAGCAA